AGCGAACGCUGGCGGCAGGCUUAACACAUGCAAGUCGAACGGGCAUCUUCGGAUGUCAGUGGCAGACGGGUGAGUAACACGUGGGAACGUACCCUUCGGUUCGGAAUAACUCAGGGAAACUUGAGCUAAUACCGGAUACGCCCUUUUGGGGAAAGGUUUACUGCCGAAGGAUCGGCCCGCGUCUGAUUGGCUUGUGGGUGGGGUAACGGCCUGCCAAGGCGACGAUCAGUAGCUGGUCUGAGAGGAUGAUCAGCCACACUGGGACUGAGACACGGCCCAGACUCCUACGGGAGGCAGCGGUGGGGAAUAUUGGACAAUGGGCGCAAGCCUGAUCCAGCCAUGCCGCGUGAGUGAUGAAGGCCUUAGGGUUGUAAAGCUCUUUUGUCCGGGACGAUAAUGACGGUACCGGAAGAAUAAGCCCCGGCUAACUUCGUG
rnacentral:rRNA from 1 species